rnacentral:rRNA from 1 species
UACGGAGGAUGCAAGCGUUAUCCGGAAUGAUUGGGCGUAAAGCGUCCGCAGGUGGCUAUGUAAGUCUGCUGUUAAAGAGUCUAGCUCAACUAGAUACAAGCAGUGGAAACUACAAGGCUAGAGUACGUUCGGGGCAGAGGGAAUUCCUGGUGUAGCGGUGAAAUGCGUAGAGAUCAGGAAGAACACCGGUGGCGAAGGCGCCGCUCUGGGCCGUUCCUGACACUGAGACGCGAAAGCGUGGGGAGCAAACAGG